rnacentral:rRNA from 1 species
AGUGAACGCUGGCGGCAGGCCUAACACAUGCAAGUCGAACGGCAGCACAAGAGAGCUUGCUCUCUGGGUGGCGAGUGGCGGACGGGUGAGGAAUGCAUCGGAAUCUGCCCAUUUGUGGGGGAUAACCUCGGGAAACCGGGACUAAUACCGCAUACGACCUAUGGGUGAAAGCAGGGGAUCUUCGGACCUUGCGCAGAUGGAUGAGCCGAUGCCGGAUUAGCUAGUUGGAGGGGUAAAGGCCCACCAAGGCGACGAUCCGUAGCUGGUCUGAGAGGAUGAUCAGCCACACUGGGACUGAGACACGGCCCAGACUCCUACGGGAGGCAGCAGUGGGGAAUAUUGGACAAUGGGCGCAAGCCUGAUCCAGCCAUGCCGCGUGUGUGAAGAAGGCCUUCGGGUUGUAAAGCACUUUUGUUGGGAAAGAAAAGCAGCCGGUUAAUACCCGGUUGUCAUGACGGUACCCAAAGAAUAAGCACCGGCUAACUUCGUG